AAGUGUAGAUAAGAUGUUUACAGUAAGAGUGAGACCUAUCAGCUAGUUGUUAAGGUAAUGGCUUAACAAGGCUGUGACGGGUAACGGUAUUACUUUGUAAUAUUCCGGAGAAGGAGCCUGAGAGACGGCUACUAAGUCUAAGGAUUGCAGCAGGGGCGAAACUUGACCUAUGGAUUUUAUCUGAGGCAGUUAUGGGAAGUAAUAUUAUAUUGUUUCAUAUUUUAAAAGUAUAUGAGGUGAUUAAUUGGAGGGCAAAUCAAGUGCCAGCAGCCGCGGUAAUACUUGUUCCAAGAGUGUGUAUGAUGAUUGAUGCAGUUAAAAAGUCCGUAGUUUAUUUUUUUAAAAAGCAA
rnacentral:rRNA from 1 species